AAAAAUAUAGUGACUACCCUUUUAAGCAAGAAUUAAUUAGUGUUCUUCACGACACAUCACAUCUAAAGGACAGGACUAAGAAGCGUGUGGCGGAAAAAAAGAGAGAAAAAGAUGGAAGGAAGAGUUUCUCUAUUUCUCUCUCAGACAAAAAUAAUCAAAGGGGACAUCUUUUCUUCAUAGCUUUCUUCUUUUGGGGCUUUAUCUGAUCUCUUUUUCUCUGGUCAAAAGAACCCAAAUGUUCAUUUUCACCAAAAUCAUCAUCAUCAUUAUGAUAAAAUACAUAUGAUGAAUUUGCAAUCCACUUCCCUAAUACCAAAGCUUACACUUCUAAAGAGUGAAAUGAUUCAAACCCAGAUCAGAAAAAAUAAAAAAAAGUUAAGAGACAAGAAAGUAAUAAUAACAAUCAAUCCCACCCCAAGAGAUCAACAGUACUGACCCACUAAAAUGUGUAGUGAGUAACACACACAAAUUCAAAGGAUUGUAAAGAAGUUGAAAGAAUGAAUGGGAAGAAGACUCCUCUUGCCAAGUUUAGAGAGAGGAGAGAGAAAACGGUAUGUGACUGUGAGAAAGAGAGAGGAAAGAGCAAAU
rnacentral:lncRNA from 1 species